rnacentral:lncRNA from 1 species
GGGAAUGAACAGGGCAGCCUCCUAAUCCCCGGCCAGAGGAGCCAAGAACUCAGGGCCACACUCCUCAGUGCACCCUCGGAGAAAAGCGGUCAGUCCCUUCUGUCUCCCUGGUCUCCGGCCAGGGUCCGAGCUCACCUGGCCUGUGACCGAGUGCUUCUGACUCUGGUGCACAGCCUCAUUUGGAGUCUCCAAACCCAGCAGAUUCCUGCAACUCUGCUCUUCGGCCAAGGAAUGUGGGUCUCCCUGGAUCUGCCACUUGUGGGGUGCCUGCUCAAAAAGCAGUGGUCUGACUGUGCCACGGGUCACAGUUUAAGAGAUUUUUAUUUACUCAUUUGGAAGAGAGAGAGAGCCGGGAGAGGGCCGUGGGGAGGAGAAGCAGCUCCCACUGAGCAGGGAGCCCGAUGUGCGGCUCCCCAGCGCCCUGAGAUCAUGACCUGAGCUGACGGCAGACGCUUCACCAACUGAGCCACCCGGGUGCCCCUUCAUAAUUUCUGUAACAACUCACACUUAUCAUUCAGGUUAGGGUCUUUCACUGAGGAGCUAGUCCCUAAUGCAGAUUCAAUUUCCAAGCAAAAUUUCCUGAGGCACAGUACGCAUUUUAUGUUAACCAAAUAGUGGAUACUGUGUAAUAGGUUUCCGAGCCCCUCCACCAAACUGUGAUUUUACUGACAAAAAUAAAUAUUAAGCCUGGCUGGCUCUUCAAAACUUCACUGUUGUUUUCAAUUUGAUUCUAUUUGCAAAAGA